rnacentral:rRNA from 2 species
GUCCGCAAGGACAAUUUGACAAUUUGACCUCAAAUCAGGUAGGACUACCCGCUGAACUUAAGCAUAUCAAUAAGCGG